UAUGAUGAUGUGCCGUUUAAUUUUGUUUAAUACGGAAAUACUUAUUUUUUCUCUAUUUUAGUGCAGUUGGAAUUUGAAACAACAAUAAUAUUGGUUUUGUGUUCGUUAUAAUGUGUAUGUUUACAGUGUGUUACACUUCAAUGUGAAUAGCAAGUGUAGUGUAUUUUAUUUAGUACUAAGAUAAUUAUUUAUCUGUUAUUUGAUCCUAAUUCUAUUCUAGUGCAAUUGAAAGUUCUAAUAGCAAUAAUAUUCCUUUUGUGUUUGUUGCGAUGUGUAUACAUAUAUAUACUCUGUGUUAUUUUAAUGUAAUAGCAUUGUUGUUGAAAUGUAUAAUUUAUUAUUGGUGCUGUUUCAAUGCUUCGUUUCGAGUGGUUAUAUUUAUAUUUCUACAAUUCUAUUCUUCAACGCUGCGUCGCUCGCUUGGAAUAGUUACACGGCGCGUGUUGGUAUCAUCUAUUCUUCGUUACAUUGUCAACGUUUAUUAUAACUACCUUCACUUAUCCUAGAACUUUUCCUGUUGCCAUCUUGACCGUUUCGGUAAUAUCUGCUUCAGUACUCUGUAAGUAUUUAUUUAAAUUUGGUAGUAAGCUUCCUAUAACUGUGUUGGCUUCUGCGUAUACCCUUUGAUGUGAGUAACAAACUUAUUUACUAUUAUCAAUUUCUUUACAACGUUUUUCUCCUUUUUAGGUUACGAUUGUUUACCUCAGUAUUUAUUACCUUCGGUAUUUUUGUACCUGUGAGUAGAAUGGUCUCAAAAUUUUCCAUUGGCCAACCCUGACAGUCGUAUACUAUGUUCUACGAAAUGGAUCCAUAACCUGUCUUUGUACAUACACUUCCUUUUACGAUGAUUAAUUGUUCACAAGGUUUCCACUGUCUGUACUAUUCGACAAGCAGCACUACACUACACACUACUGCACUGUAUUGCCUUGAAAUUGUUUAGUUUAUUGUUAUUUCGGUUAUGCGCUAGUUUUACUUGUUCAAGUGCACUGUUCACGGAAUCCCAUUCACUUUGAUCUUGACGUUUUGAUUUUGCAAAAU